AUUGAACGCUGGCGGCAUGCCUUACACAUGCAAGUCGAACGGCAGCACGGGUGCUUGCACCUGGUGGCGAGUGGCGAACGGGUGAGUAAUACAUCGGAACAUGUCCUGUAGUGGGGGAUAGCCCGGCGAAAGCCGGAUUAAUACCGCAUACGAUCUACGGAUGAAAGCGGGGGACCUUCGGGCCUCGCGCUAUAGGGUUGGCCGAUAGCUGAUUAGCUAGUUGGUGGGGUAAGGGCCUACCAAGGCGACGAUCAGUAGCUGGUCUGAGAGGACGACCAGCCACACUGGGACUGAGACACGGCCCAGACUCCUACGGGAGGCAGCAGUGGGGAAUUUUGGACAAUGGGCGAAAGCCUGAUCCAGCAAUGCCGCGUGUGUGAAGAAGGCCUUCGGGUUGUAAAGCACUUUUGUCCGGAAAGAAAUCCUUGGCUCUAAUACAGUCGGGGGAUGACGGUACCGGAAGAAUAAGCACCGGCUAACUACGUG
rnacentral:rRNA from 1 species